rnacentral:rRNA from 1 species
GAUGAACGCUGGCGGCGUGCCUAAUACAUGCCAGUCGAGCGAACAGAUGAGGAGCUUGCUCCUCUGACGUUAGCGGCGGACGGGUGAGUAACACGUGGAUAACCUACCUAUAAGACUGGGAUAACUUCGGGAAACCGGAGCUAAUACCGGAUAAUAUAUUGAACCGCAUGGUUCAAUAGUGAAAGACGGUUUUGCUGUCACUUAUAGAUGGAUCCGCGCCGCAUUAGCUAGUUGGUAAGGUAACGGCUUACCAAGGCAACGAUGCGUAGCCGACCUGAGAGGGUGAUCGGCCACACUGGAACUGGGACACGGUCCAGACUCCUACGGGAGGCAGCAGUAGGGAAUCUUCCGCAAUGGGCGAAAGCCUGACGGAGCAACGCCGCGUGAGUGAUGAAAGUCUUCGGAUCGUAAAACUCUGUUAUUAGGGAAGAACAAAUGUGUAAGUAACUAUGCACGUCUUGACGGUACCUAAUCAGAAAGCCACGGCUAACUACGUG